AGGGGUCCCGGGGAAUGAGGCUCAGCAGGGGCCACGCAGCAGGGGCUUCGGCUGGAGCGAGGAUUCAAUACCAGCUCUGCUGUUUACUGUCUCAAAGGCCAUGGGUGCACUAUUUUAGUCACUCCGUGCCUCAGUUUCCCCAUCUGUAAAUGAAAAUAAGGCACACAUAAAGCAUCUACAGCCGUAAUUAGGCUCCCCAGAGAGACAGAACCAAUUGGAUGGAUGGGUGGAUGGAUGGAUGGAUGGAUGACAGAUGGAUAGAUAGGUAGGUAGAGAAAGAUGGAUGAGAAGGGAUUUAUUAGGGGAGCUGACUCAUGUGAUUGUGAAGAAGUCCCAUGUUACGCUGUCUGUGAGCUGCUGGGCCAGGGGAGCCGGUACCAUGGCUCCAGGUCCAAAGGCCUAAGAACCAGGGGGGCCAGUGGGGUAACUCUCAAUCUGCGGCCAAAGGCCUGAGGACCUCAGGGGCUGCUCAUGCAAAGUCCCUGAGUCCAAAGGCCACAGAACCUGGAGAUCUGAUGUCCAGGGGCAGGAGAAGAGCGUCAGCUCCAGAAGAGAGCGAGAACUCACCUUUCCUCUGCCUUUUCCUUCUCUCUGGGCCCUCAGCCGAUUGGGUGGUGCCCGCCCACAUUGCAUGAGGGCAGAUCUUCCUUCCUCAGUCCACUGAUUGCAAUGCCGGCCUCUUCCCGAAACACCCUCACAGGCAUACCCGGAAAUAAUGCUUCACCAGCUCUCCGGAUAUCCCCUAAUCCCAUCACGCUGACCCCUGAAAUUAAUCAUCACACUGAGCAACCUUUGGCAGGUUACUUCGCUGCUCCGUGACUCAGUUUCCUCAUUUAUAAAACAGUGUAACAGUAGUUCCCAUAUCACCUGGCCGUUGUCUAUUCAUUGAGCUCCCACAUGCAGUGCUGUGCACCGUGCGUGGGACAUUUGGCCCUCACUGCCUGCUGGCCACUGUCAUUGCUGUGAUAGCCUUAAAUCAUAAGAUCACACAGGGAUGCUGUGAUGCCCUGGGCUCACUUCUCCCGUGGUACCUGGACAAGCUCUGUCCCUGUUACAACCCGGAACCCCUGGAUUCUCAGCUACAGUGUGGGAGUGACAGCAGAAUCUGCCUGGUCAGGUUGUGGUGAGGAUUAGAGGAGGUAGACUCGACAUGUGAAUGGUAUGUGCCCAAUCAAUGCCAGCUGUCAUUUAUUGAGACACUAAAGUGUCUUCAGGGCUGAGCUAGCCUCACAGCCACUGGUGAGAGAAGGCAGAUGGGCCUGGUGCCCCUUUGAAGGGUUGAGGAAAGCCAAGAGCAUGUUGAGUUUGCCCACAGGGAGUGCCAGGUGACAGCCACAUCCCUUUCUGAUGGUAAGAGAUGCAGCCUUUUUAGUGACAGCAGGUACCGACUGCCCUUCAGGAAGGACAUGGCGUUUGUCCAGAGUUGAGCCUCCUGCCUGCCCCCAGGGUGGGGGUGUGAGGUUAGUUUGGAAAAGGCAGAGGCAGGAUGGGAAGGUGUGUCUAGCCACAUGAUACAGGGGUCCACAUGCUGUCUCCUGGCUCUUCUUCCUGAGCCCACCACUGUGUGGGUCAGAACCAAGGUUGGAGUUGGGAGGGCCUAGGGUCUGCCAUGGCUGGACACUCACCACCUCAUCUAAUCCUUAAGUCAGUCAUAUCAUCCUCAUUUCCCAGCAAGGCCCAGAGAGGCCUGCAAAUUGCCCAUGGUCACACAGCAGGUUGGUAGCAGAGCAGGGACCCUGAGGUUGGAGCUGUUUCACAACACAUGCUCCCUCAUCUGGAAGCUGGAGAGACACGUUACCUGCCAAUACCAAGGGCGGACCCCAGCAAGUUCCAAGAACCCUGGGCCUGGCCUUUUCUGGACGAGGUAGAGAGUGGUCUCAGCCAUUGGGCAUUUUGGCCUGACAUACCAGGUCUCAGCUGCACUGUCCCUUCCCUCCAUGCUGACAGCACACUCCAUCCUGGUUCCCAGCUCCCUCAGCUCUCCCCCAGCACAGGCCAGAGAGUUUAAAAAAUAUACACAUGAGGCACAUUAAAAAAUUCAUGCACAUGAGGCAAAAUUAAAAGGGCACAAAAGGACCUACAGAGAAAAGUCUCUCUCCCCCUGCGUCCCCUGGCCACCCCAUUCCCCGAAGAUGGUCGCCAUCACCAGUUUCUCUUGUGGUCCUCCCAAAACACUCCCUACUUAUGUAUUUUCCCCAGCCACAUGGGUCUGCACCUUGCUCUUUUUGCUUUAGUGAUAUGGUCUGGGGAAGGUUCCAUUCAGGAGCAGAACUUCCAAGACAGGCCUGCACCAAAACGUAUUGACCCAGCCCUCUGUGGACGGGUAUUUGGGCUGUUUCCAGCCUUUUGCGUUUACAAGUAGUACUGUAGUAAAUAAUCUUGUGCAUCAUCUGGCUGACUGACUGGAAGUAAAUUCCUAGAAGUGGUGUUCCCGGGUGAAGGGUGUGUACCCCAUAAUUGUAUCAAUAACAAUUGUAUGGUAUUAAGUUACUUUCCCAUCACCAUGGGCGAGAGACAAAUGGCUCAGGUUCUACCUUUGUUCCCACGAGGGAAUGCCUCCACCCAACUCCUGCCCACCCCCCAGCAGCCCCCUGGCAGCUAUGCAUUACGGGAGAGUUCUAUGUGACAUUACGGGUUCUAGAAGGGACUGUGGCCCCAGGGAUACCUAUCUCACCUGGCUGACCAUGCUUCCUUAAACAUCCCUGCUUUUCACUUCUCUGUAUCUAAAUUUAAAACGUUCCUUAUGAAGCAAGUACUGCUUUAUAAGUGAAAAGUGCCAAGUUAAGAAAAGAAAAAUUCAGACUCAUUUCUUUGUCCCUUGAUGAAAUCCAGCCGUCCUCCCUCUCACCCACCCCCACUGUGCGUGAGUUUAUGGGAAAGUCUGUCUGUGGUUCUUCUAAAAGGGAGGGAACAAAAUAUGUUUAGAUGCCUGAGGGGUGCAAGAGGCAAUACUGGGUUAUUACUGGGAAAGAGCCCCAGGCCCUGGACAGAUGGGGAGCCCUAGGGGAAGGGACAUCCUCCACCAACCAUUCUUACGUGUUAUUGCCCCUGCCCUGAGCCUGAGAGCCAGCUGCUGGACCCCCAGGUUGGGCUGAAUCUUACAGAGGCCAGCCCUCCCUGAGCAUCCACACU
rnacentral:lncRNA from 1 species